AUUGAACGCUGGCGGCAGGCUUAACACAUGCAAGUCGAGCGAGCGGCGGACGGGUGAGUAAUGUCUGGGAAACUGCCUGAUGGAGGGGGAUAACUACUGGAAACGGUAGCUAAUACCGCAUACCAUCAGAUGUGCCCAGAUGGGAUUAGCUAGUAGGUGGGGUAAUGGCUCACCUAGGCGACGAUCCCUAGCUGGUCUGAGAGGAUGACAAGCCAAACUGGAACGGAGACACGGUCCAGAGUCCUACGGGAGGCAGCAGUGGGGAAUAUUGCACAAGGGGUGCAAGCCGGAUGCAGCUAUACAGCGUGUGUGAAGAAGGCCUUAGGGGUGUAAAGCACUUUCAGCGAGGAGGCGUUACGCGGAGAAGAAGCACCGGCUAACUCCGUGCCAGCAGCCGCGGUAAUAC
rnacentral:rRNA from 1 species